rnacentral:lncRNA from 1 species
GAAAAAUUACCAACCUCUUCCCCUUUGAAUUCUCCGUAGCAGGUACUCAUAUAAUUCUAGUUUUUUCUAUAUUUUACAGAAAUAGAUACUGAAGCACCCAACCUCGAAUUUUUUGGCUUCUGACUCUCCAGAAUCAUCUAUCUCCGUAAGCUUGAUUGAUACUUUUAAUUUACUAUUUAAUUACUUAUUGUUGACCAGUUUCUAUCUCAUGUUAUUUAAUUCCCUUUUUCCUAACAUUUAAUUUAAAAUCAAUGAUAGAAUCGUAUAAUGAUAUAAGCUGCAAUGAACUUAUUCGAUUGAUGAACGAAUGGAAAUAUUUUAUAUUAUUUUUCUCUACGUGUAAAAUGAUUAUCAGUUGCUUGAUUUCAGAGUUGACUGGAAAAUUUAGAAAUUUCAUGACUGCACGAUCUGAAUUUUGUUAACAUAAGGUAACUUAUGAUUUAGUUUGAUUUUGUGAUUUAGAAUCGCGAAUAAUGCUGAACAAGCAAUGGGAGCCCAUCAUGAUUGAGUGUUUUUAUGUUGUUUUUCCCAAUGUCGAAUGAGAAUGUGCCACGUGUUGUUUGGAAAUGAAAUUCUGUCGCUAACUGUGGCUAUAUAGCUUGGUCGUUAGAAUCAUUGCUUCCAGAAAAAAAGUUCCAUCCUUUACCGCUAAAGCUCUUUAAUACAACUGAAACGAAAAGAGAUACAUUAAUUUUGAUUUGUCUGACAGUGAGUGAGCCAUAUUUUUAAUUUAAUUGUUAUUGAGAAUUGUUGAUAAUGUUUUCCUCUUUUCUCUUGUAUAGUUUUUCCUCGUUCAUUAGUGGCAAUUUCGAUUAUUUAAUUAAGAAUGUGAUUUAACUCGUCCUAAUUGUUAGUGUUUCAUAUUGUUUUCACAGGUGCGAGUGUCUUAUGGUGGUUUCUUAAAGAAAAGGUUGGGAUAAAGCCUUUUCAUUCAGAUGGAUAAGUAAUCUUCUUUCGAUGAUGAAAUGAGGCAACACCCUCCCUGUUUCCCGGUAGAACCAUAUUUCACCCAAAUUUUUUCAGAUACGGAAAAGGAGCAGUCUACUUGAAGUCAAUAUAAGAAAGGGCAUUUCAGGUUCGUCGGGGUGCUGGUUUUGGAUGCUACUUCAACUUCUGCAAGCUUGGGGUCAUCACUUAUUUUCGUAAAGUUAUAUUUGCUGAAGAAUUUUAUUUUUGACUCUCUCUGUAAUCAUUAUCUGCAAUUAUUGAGGAUACUUAAAAGGAGAAGGAGGUUUGAGGGAUUUAAGUAGGUUGGUGCUAGUGAUCAUCGGAUCAUGGAUACUGUUUGUUGCUGUUUGAGGGGUGGAUUUGAAGAUUUUGUUCAUUCGAACAGCUCAAUCUGUGCGAACUUUAUUUGCAUUCGUUGCUUCGUUCAGAAUUUCUUACAUUUGGUAUGCUUUAAAUUAUUUACUGUCUAUUUAAGUUUUUUGAUUGAAUUUGAUAAAUUCAGUUUUGAGCUG